rnacentral:lncRNA from 1 species
GGUUAACAUAGUUCAGAUGCAGCUGAAGGAAGGGCCAAGGACCAGGGGACAGGUGGGUAAAGCACCCUGAGAGGCCACCGUGAUGGCGCCCAUGCACCUGUCUCUCUCCACCUCUCCCCGUCGUCACCUGCUCUACAGGCACCCAACGCCCCCUGCGUGUUCUUGCGUGUGUCUGCCCUGCUUCCCAGAAGCUUUCCCUUUCCAUCCGAUGGAUCUACCCUUGCUGGUCAAGGAAGGCCAUUUCCUUCCCCCAGGCCCCCUCCCCAGGCUUCUCUGGAUUCUUUCCUCAACCCCUUUUUGAGGGCUGGGCGGGAGGUGUGACUCCUCCGAAGCAGUUCUUAGAGCCAUGACUUGACAUUCACGGGUCUCUCCCUCCUUCUGGACUAGGACCUGACCCAAGCUAAAGCACAGGGACCUCUUAUCUUUUUCAAUUCCUAGUGAAACGCCUGGCUCCCCAUUGGUGCUGCCAAUCACGGUGAGUGACACAAGGACCAGAUUCCUGUAGGACGCGGCUGAGCAUCUUCCUGACCAGUGACAAACCAAUCCAGGGGAAGCUGUGAUUUGAACUUGAACAUCUUCACUUGUUUGUUUGUGGCUUUCUCCCCCACCACAUCUAAACUCCAUAAGGACAGGGGUCCUUAUGUCGGUCUGUUCAUGGUUGGAUCCCAAAUGCCCAGAAUAUACUUGGUGUUUAAGAAAUGUUUGUUGAGCGAGGAAAAUACUCCUUCUAACACCCUCAAGGAGACGGGGCCAAGGACGGACAGCGGGCCAUGCAGCUUGGGUGUUUUGAGUCCACUGAAGGUUGGACUCCAGAGGCGACAGACCCCGCAAGAGAGGGGAGAAGGCUGCAGGGAGAGGCUUUGAAGCCGCCCAGGGACUUAGCACGUCCGGAGAGCAGCCUUCUCUCUCUAAGUCUUGGUUUUAGCCAUUUAAGGGCAGGGGUAGUACCUGCCCCGUGUCCUCCUCUGUGAGCUGGACCUGGAUCCUGAGAAAGGAGCAUGAGAGACUGUUCUGUGGGUUACCCACAUUGUGUCAUUUGGCAGGGGGUCACCUGAGUCACCUGAGUUUGUCUUCCGGUUUGGUCACAGAUUGCCUGUUCCUUCCAGUUUGGACACACCGAGCUCCGUCUCCAUCCUGAGCACCUCCGAGGGGGUUUCUGUGCUCCUUCUCAGUGGACCUCGCUACGCACCCACAAGAUGAUUGUGGGUGCUGGUUAAAAUGAGGAAGCAGCCCAGAGGAGCCAGAUGACUUGCCCAGGCAUUCCCUGGGGAACAAGACGGCUCAGAACUCCAACCUGCUUCUUUUUGUGUUAUCCAAGCUCAUCAUUCUGGCCUGCCUCGUUCAAGGUCAUGUGCUCGGCCAAACCAAGCCUAGAACCCAGGUGUCCAGGACCUCUGUCUCGUGUCAUUGCGCUGCCUGACAGACAGCCAGGUUGGGACUCUCACUCAUCACCCCGGGGUGCUGUUUGGCCAGCUGAGAAAACUUAGGAACAGAGUCCAC